rnacentral:rRNA from 1 species
AUGGUAGGAGAGCGUUCUGUAAGCCUGCGAAGGUGUCUUGUAAAGGAUGCUGGAGGUAUCAGAAGUGCGAAUGCUGACAUGAGUAGCGAUAAUGCGGGUGAAAAGCCCGCACGCCGUAAGCCCAAGGUUUCCUGUUCAACGUUCAUCGGAGCAGGGUGAGUCGGCCCCUAAGGCGAGGCAGAGAUGCGUAGCUGAUGGGAAGCAGGUUAAUAUUCCUGCACCGUCGUAUGAUGCGAUGGGGGGACGGAUCGCGGAAGGUUGUCCAGCUGUUGGAAUAGCUGGUUUUUGACUCAUAGAAGGCGCUUAGGCAAAUCCGGGCGCAGGAUUCAAGGGGUCGAGACGGGUCGCCAUGUGCGACGAAGCAAUCGGAAGUGGUUCCAAGAAAAGCCUCUAAGCUUCAGUCAUACGAGACCGUACCGCAAACCGACACAGGUGGGCGAGAUGAGUAUUCUAAGGCGCUUGAGAGAACUCGGGAGAAGGAACUCGGCAAAUUGGUACCGUAACUUCGGGAUAAGGUACGCCCCGGUAGCUUGACUGCUUUACUGCAGAAGGGUGAAAGGGUUGCAAUAAACUGGUGGCUGCGACUGUUUAAUAAAAACACAGCACUCUGCAAACACGAAAGUGGACGUAUAGGGUGUGACGCCUGCCCGGUGCUGGAAGAUUAAAUGAUGGGGUGCAAGCUCUUGAUUGAAGUCCCAGUAAACGGCGGCCGUAACUAUAACGGUCCUAAGGUAGCGAAAUUCCUUGUCGGGUAAGUUCCGACCUGCACGAAUGGCGUAACGAUGGCCACACUGUCUCCUCCCGAGACUCAGCGAAGUUGAAAUGUUUGUGAUGAUGCAAUCUACCCGCGGCUAGACGGAAAGACCCCAUGAACCUUUACUGUAGCUUUGCAUUGGACUUUGAACCAAUCUGUGUAGGAUAGGUGGGAGGCUUUGAAGCGGGGACGCCAGUUCUCGUGGAGCCAUCCUUGAAAUACCACCCUGGUUCGUUUGAGGUUCUAACCUUGGUCCGUUAUCCGGAUCGGGGACAGUGCAUGGUAGGCAGUUUGACUGGGGCGGUCUCCUCCUAAAGUGUAACGGAGGAGUUCGAAGGUACGCUAGGUACGGUCGGACAUCGUGCUAAUAGUGCAAUGGCAUAAGCGUGCUUAACUGCGAGACCGACAAGUCGAGCAGGUACGAAAGUAGGACAUAGUGAUCCGGUGGUUCUGUAUGGAAGGGCCAUCGCUCAACGGAUAAAAGGUACUCUGGGGAUAACAGGCUGAUUCCUCCCAAGAGUUCAUAUCGACGGGGGAGUUUGGCACCUCGAUGUCGGCUCAUCACAUCCUGGGGCUGUAGCCGGUCCCAAGGGUAUGGCUGUUCGCCAUUUAAAGUGGUACGUGAGCUGGGUUUAAAACGUCGUGAGACAGUUUGGUCCCUAUCUGCCGUGGGCGUUGGAAAUUUGAAGGGGGCUGCUCCUAGUACGAGAGGACCGGAGUGGACGAACCUCUGGUGUACCGGUUGUCACGCCAGUGGCAUUGCCGGGUAGCUAAGUUCGGAAGAGAUAACCGCUGAAAGCAUCUAAGCGGGAAACUUGCCUUGAGAUGAGAUUUCCCGGAGCCUUGAGCUCCUUGAAGGGUCGUUCGAGACCAGGACGUUGAUAGGCUGGGUGUGGAAGUGCAGUAAUGCAUUAAGCUAACCAGUACUAAUUGCCCGUACGGCUUGUCCCU